rnacentral:rRNA from 1 species
UACGUAGGGGCUAGCGUUAUCCGGAAUUACUGGGCGUAAAGGGUGCGUAGGUGGUUUCUUAAGUCAGAGGUGAAAGGCUACGGCUCAACCGUAGUAAGCCUUUGAAACUGGGAAACUUGAGUGCAGGAGAGGAGAGUGGAAUUCCUAGUGUAGCGGUGAAAUGCGUAGAGAUCGGGAGGAACACCAGUGGCGAAGGCGACUUACUGGGCCGUAACUGACGCUGAGGCGCGAAAGCGUGGGGAGCGAACAGGAUUAGAUACCCGUGUAGUCCCUGAGCGGGGCU